ensembl:lncRNA
ACGUAUAUGCCUGAUUGUAUAUUCGUCUGACAGUAUUUUAACACAUCAGUGUGUUCCUCUUUAUAUACAGUCUAUGGUUCCUCUAAAUUCCUGUACAGACCGAAGGCUACUGGAAACUCUGCCGACUUUAACUCCUCUCCUGCUACUACCGCCUGCUCUGGUCCACUUUCCCAACGAACCGAGCGAAGCGCUGUCGACAGAAACCAUCUCAUUGGUUCUUUUCCCUCCUUCCAAAAAACCCGCCAAUCAGAGCUCACGCUGAUCGCCCUAUUUAUUAUUCUGAGAAGUUGCUCUCCAGUUCAGUGGAGUCUACAGGGGAGCUGAGCGCAAGUAUGUUGAAGACUCCAGUAGGACUACGUCUGAACUUCUGCUUGGAUGCAGGCACGCUUGCGGAUAACAAACAUUCCGCUGAGAUUUCUUUCUUUUGAGGAUCUUACUUGAGAGAACUUUCACGCCGUGGAAACUCAUCAAAGGACAUCGGACUUUUAAUGUUGCAGCGGCUUUGAGGAAGCCUCGGAAUAGUUGAGAAUUCCGUUUAAUACUGUUAAAUGCGGAGAUACUGGACAAGUGAGGCGCCUAACUGAAGUCAUCACUUUAAAGAUUGCUGUUCAUGCAAUGCAAACUGCAUAUCUGCACAGCCCCACAGGAGGAGCCUAUCUUCCAACAUCUCAGGACAACAGCAUUCAACCUUUACCAGCGGUUUACCUUCCAAAUGAAAUACAAAUCAGCAUGGUUGCUGCUCAGCCUCCUAGGGAGCUCGGAGUGCCUUAUGAUCCAGCUCAUACUGAGCAAGGUUAUGCACAAUCACAGAAUUUUCAGGACAGCAGGAAUUUUGGAAUAUCUGUUAAUGCAAACUGCAUAAGACAAAUUGCUGACAGUAGUGGACAACAAAGGGACUCUUUGAAGCUCUAUUUUAGUGAACAUUUGCAGAACAGUUUAGAAUUGGGCAAUGAUACUGGACUGAGUGGUCAGUUGUCCACAGACAAAAUGUUGGCAGCUGGAGUAUCCGAAUCAUAUACAGAUCCUGAACUAUGUGAUUACGUUAAAGAGAGGCUUGCAUAUCUUAGGAUGAACAUAAAUCAUGGACCUCGUCUGUCCAGUAAGGGGUGCCCUAAUGACAAUGACUCACCACUCCAGUCCCACUGUAACACUUCAAAGUCCAAUAGUGUGGACUGUCACCCCACAUCCUCUACGUGUGACAAAGAAGAUGUAGAGAGGCAAAGUCUUAGCUGUGCUGUGGUUGAGCACUGUACUGCUGCAGCUACAAAAGCACUUGAAGAGUACAGCUCCAAGACCAGCGACACGAAUGCCGAGUUAACCCCCAAGUCUAAAGAGAAAAGUGAAACAUCUGCAUCAGAGAGAAUUUUAACAGAAUAUCCACAAAUCAUUAAUGAAGCUGCUGUCACCUGCACAAAGAUUGAAGAAGAAAGUCCAGUGGUUCUCACUGCAAUGUCUGGAGUGACCUGUGAUGAACUGACUAAUAAGUACCCAGGUUUGACACUCGGCUGCAGUUCCUCACAAGAAGAGUCCAACUCUAUUUUGGUAAAUGCUGACAAGGAUGACAGAGUGUCUGCUGUUUCCUCGCCUCUCACACACAUGACACACAAGGACAGAGGAGAUAAAGGCCUCAAACCAGUGGAGGUGGAUGAUGUGGAAAGCAUGAUAAAGGACUCUAAAGAGUCAUGGACUCCAAGAAUUAUUGAAGAUCAAGAUGCAAAUAUACACAGACAGAAGACCACUGGAAAUCAACAAAACUGCCCUGUUAGCUCUAAGAAAACAACUGCACAUUCAAAUUCAUCUGUUGACAGAAUUCUAAUUAAUGACGCAGUCUCUACAAACCAAAACAAACAACCAGUGUACGGCCAAACAAGUUGUAAAAAUAUAAGAAAGGAUGUGUCUUGUUUGUGCUCUCAGGUGGAUUUAAGCAACAAAUAUGCAGAAUGUACCCCUCUGUCUGGAAGAGUGGAUAAAGACACCCCCUCUGUGACCGUUUUAAAAGAGCCACAAUAUGAAGAUAUCUCAGAUGCUGAAGACAUGUCAGAGCUGGACACGAAACUUCCAGAGCAUGAGGAAUUCCGUUUUCCAUUACAUUUAGAGCACCCAGAGUAUGAAGAUAUAAGUGAAGAUGAGAAUCCACCAAUUCAAAAUAUGGAUGUGGAGAUGCCGUCUUUUCCACCUGAUGUAUCUGAACCCAAUGUUAAGCCGUAUGGACAUGUGCAGAUUCAGAUAAAGUCAAUUUUAUAUGAGGAACUGAUUCCAAUGAAGCAGUUGACACCAAAGACAGAAACACUUUGUAUAGCACAACAUUGCUCUUGUCCACAUUUUGGUGAAACAGAUGAUGACACUGAAUAUGCGUCAGGUGCUACAUGUGACUGUGCAAGACAUGCUGAAUGCCAGACAAACCGCUCAUGCAGUCCUUCCUCUGAUUUGAAAGAUGAAUACGAGUCUGAUGAUGAGAUGAAUGAUGACUGGUACAUCAUACCUUUAAUCAUAUCGGAACUUAAACUUGAAUUACCAGAAGAUGAGCCUGAUCAAGUCGACGUUCUGUCGGAUGUUGGUGAAUAUAUGAACAACGUAACACUUUGUGAACUCCACCAGCCACCUCCAGUCCAGGUCCCAGCUUCUGCUUUUUCCCAGAUUGAGGUCUUUGACACACGUGAGAGCUUUCAACAGGCAAAAGCUGUCCAAUUUGGGAAAUUUCCUCAAAAAUUAUCAGAAGAGAGUUUACCAGAGAGAGACCCAAAGUCACAUCACAGCAGAAGGGAUUCCUAUUCUGAGUCUGAAGACAGCUGUGAAACUGAUGACAGUUGUAAUUACUCACCUGUGGAAGAACGCAACCAUUUAACAGUGUCCAUGAAGCUGUUGAACAGCCUGCCAGCAUCUUCUUCUUCAGAGGCAAAUGACUCAGAAUCUGAAAAAGAUCAUGCAGAUGAUGAGGCGAGAAAUUUGCAAAACAAUCCAAGCAGGAGCAGACAAAAUACUUGUAAAAUGGAAGACAUAAUAAUCCUCAAUUCUGACACAGAGGAUGAAUGUGAUCAAGUAUGCACAAAUAACGCAAGAAGACAGAAAGGAUUCUUUUUACAGAAUGAAGUCAGUGCUGCUGCCCCUUGUAGUCCACAAAAGAGAUUUUCCUCUGAAACUGUGGCUAGUGUAUGUGAAAGUGUUAAAGAAAACUUGUUCAAAAAAGAACUUCUGCCUGCACACUCAAUAAAAAUGACCGCAAACUCUGGGCAGGUAUGUAAAAACAUAGCCAUAUCUGAGCAUGUUCAACAUGAUGUCACGCAGCAAAAUGUUUCAGAUGAUGAAAGUGUAAUAGUCAUUGAUUCUGACGAAGAGGAUGACAGUAGUCAAAACUACAAGGCGAAGAGGGAAUUUUCUUCAGAGUGGGCAGGCGCUGGUAAUGAUCCAUUUGUUCAGCAACAGGGGACUCCUGUGCACACUGAAUAUGAAACUGCCAAAGGAAAGCUUGAAGAAUGCCGACAGUCUGCAGACUCAUCAAAGGCGCAGCGUGACUCUAAACACAGAGAUACACAUUCACAAGAAGAGAUGCAGGACACAUGCUCUGACCUGUCACACAGUAUAAAGAGGGGACAGUUGCCUGAAGCUAAAACUGGCUCUGUGUGUGUUCAGCAAAAGACUAUCACACAAAUGACAUCAAAGCGUUUCCAUGAGUCUGACCAUGUGGUGACAGCAGACAAAAUUGUCAAAAAGAAGGCAAAAACGAAGAGGCGAACGCUGUCAUCAGAACCAGGGGACAGUGAUUCUGCCUUUAUUAAUGUACAGAAAAGUCCUCAUGUCAGCAACAAGUCUCAAAAAAGUCAGUCAUCCAAGGAUUCAUCUGAAAUGCAGCCCCAGUCAGGGACAGACAGGGAGGUAGACACCACUGUGGGUUGCAAUCCUGUGAUUCGCCGUCUUUUGAUUCAGAAUUUCCCACAAGACAACAGUCCCCUGAAACUUUCUAAACAAUCUAUAGCCUACAGGCAGGACAAAGACACAACUCCAAAAAAACACACAUCAACCAGCAAAAAUGUAGACUCCUGUAAAACAAAGACACAGCUUUUGCAUGGAGAUAUACAAGGAGAAUUUGUAUCCAACCCAAAGCCUGCUGAUGAGAGACACCAUGUAACACCACUGUCUAAAUCUAAGGAGAGCUCUUCUCCUCCCACAAAAAUGUUGCCUUUAUUCAAACUACAGCAGCCAGACUCCUUCAGUAUCCCGUCAACAUCCAUUCAUUCCUACACUCCAACAAAGGGCCCGUCAGCAAUGACACAAGUGACCAAUAAGUGGCGGGAGAGCUAUUACUCGACCAGAAAAGACAAAAAAAAUAGUGUGGUGAUGGAGGAGGGCUUAAGACCUAAGAACAAUCAUGAUUUUCUGAAGGAAGCUAAACCUAGACGUCGUCGCUGUGACAAGGCACCCAGACGGAGGAAUAGCUCCCAGGAAUCUGCAACCCCCUUGAUGAAAAGGACCAUGGUUGAAGCCAGAGAGUUGACAAAGGCCAGGAAUCGGGAUGCUUCAUGUGACCAACCAGGACACCGUGUGGGUGAAGGUUACAAAUGGAGGAAGUGAUCAAGAGACAUACAAACUAAAGGCUCCUACAGGCAGGGGAAGAAGUAUAGAUGCUUCCCAAAGUCCCAUCACUGGAAAAAUGUUGAUAACUCCAAGAAACCGCAGUUACAGUUGUCAUAAUUUGAUUUGAUUUUCUGAAGCAUUUUUGUGUAGCACGACAGACAAUACUUAGAAAAGUUGCCUGUAUUCUAAUAUUUUGCAUUCAGUAUUUUUACUGUUGUGUGUAAAUAUGUUCAUGUUGUAUUAUUACAUCAACUGUGACAUUGUAUGUGUUUGGUCUUUUAAUGUUGACUGUAAAAACAUGUUUUACCAGCUACCUCAAAUAUAAAACUUCAGCUUUAAGUUAACUGGUUUUGUGCAGACUGUUCAAACUUGGAACUUUUCAUAUAUUUUACUUGUUUAUUUUUUUACAGGUAAUUUUCCUCCUCUUACGUUGACAUGACUUUUUGUUCUUAGGGUACCAUAUGCAGUUGCAUGUCACAGCAAUACAAUAUCAAACAAAUGGAAUACUUUUAAUGAAUUCCUGGACACAAAAAUGGGGAAGGCAUUUUAUUGAACAUUGAGAACUAAUUGAUCAGGUAUGAUAGGUUGUACCUAGGGUUGCCACCCAUCCCUUAAAAUACGGAAUCGUCCUUUAUUUGACAAUUAAUUGUUGCGUCCCGUAUUGAAUCAAUACGGGACGCAAAUUGUUCCGUAUUUUCAUAAACGCCCCGUACACGUCUGUCACACACUCAUCAAAACUGCAUAAGGAACAAAAAAACACAGGAAAUACUAAGGGCAGCCAAUUUAAACUUCAUAGGACCUCCGUAGCGAGGACCCGAUGCCAGGUCCAGCAGAUCACGCUGCACCCACGUGUUUAAAAAUGUUUACACCCGAAACUCCACCACGUCCACAGAAGCAAAAACAUUUACAAAUGUACCAAUGGGAGUGGGACGACUCGAACCCUUGACAGUACGAGGCAAACGUUGUUUUCUGUUGCUCAUGGACUGGCUGAAGUAAGGCAGCAUCAGGAGAUCAACAUGUAAGAAACAUGAGAACAGAGAGAACCCAACCAGCAGGUCACAGUUUAUCAUCAUCUGAUCAUCUCCUGAAGUCCAUAUAGUAAGGGACAUCAGUAUAUGGUUGUUAGUUUACCUGAGGAUGCUUAUAAUCAUGCUGAUGUAGUCCUAGACUCUACACUGUUUUAGUGAUUCAAUAAAUGCCUAAGUUGUUGUUUAGUUUUUUUUAAUGCUUUUUAGUUUUUAAUAAAUAUUUAAUAGCCUAUAUGUAAUCAAUAAAUGACCUUUGCCUAUCUAAAGAAAAACUCACAGAACUCUAUGUUAACAGUACUAAAUAAAUCAAUAAAUAGAUGCAUACACACAUAAGUUAAUACAUUAGCUGUGUUAAGAUAAGAUUUACAUUUAGAUGAAAAAAAAUGUAGAGAAUUUCUUUGUCCAGUAUUCUGCAUUCAGUUGUUUAUGUUUUUGCAGAAUCCAGUAUUUCACACUGGCUGGUCAUUUUAUUUCAUUAGUAUGGUUUCACUGUUUAAAACGAG